CCAGACUCCUACGGGAGGCAGCAGUGAGGAAUAUUGGUCAAUGGGCGCGAGCCUGAACCAGCCAAGUCGCGUGAGGGAUGAAGGAUCUAUGGUUCGUAAACCUCUUUUAUAAGGGAAUAAAGUGCGGGACGCGUCCCGCUUCGCAUGUACCUUAUGAAUAAGGAUCGGCUAACUCCGUGCCAGCAGCCGCGGUAAUACGGAGGAUCCGAGCGUUAUCCGGAUUUAUUGGGUUUAAAGGGUGCGUAGGCGGACGCUUAAGUCAGCGGUAAAAUUGCGGGGCUCAACCUCGUCGAGCCGUUGAAACUGGGUGCCUUGAGUGGGCGAGAAGUACGCGGAAUGCGUGGUGUAGCGGUGAAAUGCAUAGAUAUCACGCAGAACUCCGAUUGCGAAGGCAGCAUACCGGCGCCCAACUGACGCUGAAGCACGAAAGCGUGGGUAUCGAACAGGAUUAGAUACCCUCGUAA
rnacentral:rRNA from 1 species